CAGGUACAGAGGGAUGCUACCGGGCGACCGGAUGCGGAUCUCGAAAGCCUGUCCCAGUUCGGACUGGAGUCUGCAACCCGACUCCACGAAGUUGGAUUCGCUAGUAAUCGCGCAUCAGCCAUGGCGCGGUGAAUACGUUCCCGGGCCUUGUACACACCGCCCGUCAAGCCAUGGGAGCCGGGGGCGCCUGAAGUCCGGGACCGCGAGGACCGGCCUAGGGCGAAACUGGUAACUGGGGCUAAGUCGUAACAAGGUACC
rnacentral:rRNA from 1 species